rnacentral:misc_RNA from 1 species
CCUUGGUGAGUCUAUCCGGAGGAUACAAGGGUCUGUAACUACAUCUAGAGGAAGGAGACAGAAACGUUUUGUAGGUGCUAUCAUUGGCAGUAUAGCUCUUGGGGUUGCGACAGCUGCACAGAUAACAGCAGCUGCAGCUCUGAUACAAGCCAACCAGAACGCUGCCAACAUCCUCCGGCUUAAGGAGAGCAUUGCUGCAACCAAUGAAGCUGUGCACGAGGUCACUGACGGAUUAUCCCAACUAGCAGUGGCAGUCGAGUCUGUACAAUCUUGCGCUCAAUGUCACUAUUGAUGUGGAAGUGGACCCGAAGAGCCCAUUAGUCAAAUCCCUUUCCAAGUCCGAUGGCGGAUAUUAUGCCAAUCUCUUCUUACAUAUCGGGCUUAUGUCCACUGUAGAUAAAAAGGGAAAGAAAGUGACAUUUGACAAGCUGGAAGAGAAGAUAAGAAGACUCAAUCUAUCUGUUGGGCUCAGUGAUGUGCUCGGAC